rnacentral:rRNA from 1 species
UACAGAGGGUGCGAGCGUUACUCGGAAUUACUGGGCGUAAAGGGCGCGUAGGCGGUUUAAUAAGUGAGGUGUGAAAGGCUUGGGCUUAACCUGGGCACUGCACUUUAGACUGUUAAGCUUGAGUAUAGUAGAGGGAAGCGGAAUUUCCGGUGUAGCGGUGAAAUGCGUAGAUAUCGGAAAGAACAUCAGUGGCGAAGGCGGCUUUCUGGACUAAUACUGACGCUGAGGCGCGAAAGCAUGGGUAGCAAACAGG